rnacentral:lncRNA from 1 species
NNNNNNNNNNNNNNNNNNNNNGGCUGGUGGCAUCCAAGCCGCUGAAGGAGAGAUCCCUGUGCCAGUCUCUUAGUGUUUCUCUGGGCUCCGGGGGCUCCUGCAGGUCCCUGGACCUAAUUUCACUGGCCCAGGGUGCCGGGCUGUCCGACGAAGCUCCAACCCUGGAGGGAUCCGGCACCCGGUCUGUCCCGAUGAUGCCGAAUUGGUUCUGGCGCUCAGCUCCGCCAAGGCCGAGCUCUUCACCCCAGUCCCUGCUACCGAUAGCACCGCUCUCCUGCUUGUCGGAGCUGCUCCAGCCAGGCUCUCGAGCUGGGUGAUCAGGGGCACGGGCCCCAGGCAAGUCUCCUUUUCCGACACCGAAAGCAUUUGCUGGCUCGGUUUGGCCAACGCUGCGUUCAUCAGCCCAGCUCAGCCGGCCGGCACUGAACUCUCUAUCUUCCUUUUGGGAGGUUGUAGAGCUGUAGUCACUGGCCCAGGCUGGUCUGCUGGGGCUGAACUCCCUGUGCUGCGUCUCCAUAUCCCUGGGGCCGUAUUCGCUAUCCCAGGCUGGUCGGCUGGGGCUGAACUCCCUGUCCUGGCUCUCCAUGCCCCUGGGGCUGUAUUCGCUGGCCUCAGCUGGUCUGCUGGGGCUAAACUCCCUGUGCUGCGUCUCCACGUCCCUGGGGCCGUAUUCAUCAGCCCAGGCUGGUCGGCUGGGGCUGAACUCCCUGUCCUGGCUUUCCAUGUCCCUGGGGCUGUAUUUGCUAUCCCAGGCUGGUCUGCUGGGGCUAAACUCCCUGUCCUGGCUCUCCAUCUCCUUGGCGCUGUAUUUGCUGGCCUCAGCUGGUCUGCUGGGGCUAAACUCCCUGUCCUGGCUCUCCAUAUCCCUGGCGCUGUACUCACCAGGCCAGGCUGGUCGGCUAGGGCUGAACUCCCUGUCCUGGCUCUCCAUAUCCCUGGCACUGUAUUUGCUAUCCCACGUUGGUCUGCUGGGGCUGAACUCCCUGUCCUGGCUCUCCAUGUCCUUAGUGUUGUAUUUGCUGUCCCAGGCUGGCCUGUUGGGGCAAAACUCCUUCUCCGGGGUCCCAGUGUCCCCAGUGCUGGAUCUGCCAGCCCAGCCCAGCGUAAAAUCCUCACCCUUGGUCUCGGCGUCCCUCUUGCUGUAGUUACUGGCCCAGUCUGGGGUGAUCUCCCUGUCCUUGAUUUCUGCGUCACCGUUGCCAUACUCGCCAGCCCAAGCAGGUGUGACGUCCCCGUCCUGGGUCUCCGCGUCCCCAGAGCUGUAUCUGCCAGCCCAACUAGGCUGCCUGGAGCUCAGCUCCUUGCC